CGCUCAUGUUUCUCUUCAUUCGUAUAAAUCUUUCGCCUUUUACUAAAGAUUUCCGUGGAGAUGAACAUUAUGAGUAGAACUGAAUUUUUUGUUGCCCUGUUUAACAACGGGGCU